CCCCUCUCAGGGUUGCACCUGGAGAGUUUCCAGUACUCUACCAGUCUCAAGUAUGGGAGGGAGAAUCAAGCAGACACACACCCACUCCAUUCCUAGCUCAGCCUGUGGCUAGCAAGUGGAAGGCAAUCUGCUGCAAGU